UGGGGAAUAUUGGGCAAUGGGCGAAAGCCUGACCCAGCGACGCCGUGUGGGCGAUGAAGGCCUUCGGGUUGUAAAGCCCUGUGAGGUGGAAAGAAGGGUCCAGAGGUUAAUACCCUUUGGACUUUGACGGUACCACCAGAGGAAGCACCGGCUAACUCCGUGCCAGCAGCCGCGGUAAUACGGAGGGUGCCAGCGUGGUUCGGAAUUACUGGGCGUAAAGGGCGCGUAGGUGGUUGUGUAAGUCAGAUGUGAAAUCCUUAGGCUUAACCUGAGAACUGCAUCUGAGACUGGAGGACUCGAGGACAGCAGAGGGAAACGGAAUUCCUGGUGUAGAGGUGAAAUGCGUAGAUAUCAGGAGGAACACCGGUGGCGAAGGCGGUUUCCUGGGCUGAUACUGACACUGAGGCGCGAAAGCGUGGGGAGCAAACA
rnacentral:rRNA from 1 species